GACAUUCGUGCGCCGUGAAUCUCUUGUGGAACGCUUCGCCCUCCUUGCAGCCAAUUUCAAGUGGCUGUAAGCGCUGGCGAGAAAAAAGUACAUCAAAUCAUUCCCUGUGUAUGUUUCCAUCCAUGGAUACUGGCGGGUACAACCUAUGUAACUGGAAUAAUCUAAUUCAGGAAAUGGUUCAACUCGAUCAGAAGUCUUCAGGCUUCCAUACUUGGAUCAUUACCGCCUCGCCUCGUCUUUGUACAUUUACGAAUAAAAACUACGUCCCACUCACAGUUACUGCAUAAUUACCCCUUGCUUCCUACUUUCUCCUCUCCUCAGGCUUCCACGUCGUUUCAACCUCAAAUGAAUCCUUCCCAAGUUCCUCCCAGUCCAACCUCCCCCACCUCUCCGGCCUCUCCAACGCAUCCACAAAAUGCUUCAUAGCCAACACAGCCUGACCCGCCCACCUCUCCUUGCUAACUUUCCCUACCCCAACCGCCAACGGGGGCAUUAAGAUCCUAUCAAUCCUCCUCCUCCUCGCCUCCUUCCCCCCCUCCUCCCCGCCACCCCCUUCCUCUCUGACCUCUCGAUUCCACUUCUCUACCUCCCCCAUC
rnacentral:sRNA from 1 species